rnacentral:rRNA from 1 species
GACAGAGGGUGCAAACGUUGUUCGGAAUUACUGGGCGUAAAGCGUGUGUAGGCGGCCGCGCAAGUCGGAUGUGAAAGCCCCGGGCUCAACCCGGGAAGUGCACCCGAUACUGCAUGGCUCGAGUACUGGAGAGGUUGGUGGAAUUCUCGGUGUAGAGGUGAAAUUCGUAGAUAUCGAGAGGAACACCGGUGGCGAAGGCGGCCAACUGGACAGAUACUGACGCUGGGACACGAAAGCGUGGGGAGCAAACAGG